rnacentral:rRNA from 4 species
AAAUUGAAGAGUUUGAUCAUGGCUCAGAUUGAACGCUGGCGGCAGGCCUAACACAUGCAAGUCGAACGGUAACAGGAAGCAGCUUGCUGCUUUGCUGACGAGUGGCGGACGGGUGAGUAAUGUCUGGGAAACUGCCUGAUGGAGGGGGAUAACUACUGGAAACGGUGGCUAAUACCGCAUAACGUCGCAAGACCAAAGAGGGGGACCUUCGGGCCUCUUGCCAUCAGAUGUGCCCAGAUGGGAUUAGCUUGUUGGUGAGGUAACGGCUCACCAAGGCGACGAUCCCUAGCUGGUCUGAGAGGAUGACCAGCCACACUGGAACUGAGACACGGUCCAGACUCCUACGGGAGGCAGCAGUGGGGAAUAUUGCACAAUGGGCGCAAGCCUGAUGCAGCCAUGCCGCGUGUAUGAAGAAGGCCUUCGGGUUGUAAAGUACUUUCAGCGGGGAGGAAGGUGU